rnacentral:rRNA from 1 species
ACAACGAGUCGCAAACUCGCGAGAGUAAGCUAAUCUCUUAAAGCCGUUCUCAGUUCGGACUGUAGGCUGCAACUCGCCUACACGAAGUCGGAAUCGCUAGUAAUCGCGGAUCAGCAUGCCGCGGUGAAUACGUUCCCGGGCCUUGUACACACCGCCCGUCACACCAUGAGAGUCGGGAACACCCGAAGUCCGUAGCCUAACCGCAAGGGGGGCGCGGCCGAAGGUGGGUUCGAUAAUUGGGGUGAAGUCGUAACAAGGUAAC